rnacentral:rRNA from 1 species
CAGUAGCCGCGGUAAAACAGAGGGUGCGAGCGUUAAUCGGAUUUACUGGGCGUAAAGCGUGCGUAGGCGGCUUCUUAAGUCGGAUGUGAAAUCCCUGAGCUUAACUUAGGAAUUGCAUUCGAUACUGGGAAGCUAGAGUAUGGGAGAGGAUGGUAGAAUUCCAGGUGUAGCGGUGAAAUGCGUAGAGAUCUGGAGGAAUACCGAUGGCGAAGGCAGCCAUCUGGCCUAAUACUGACGCUGAGGUACGAAAGCAUGGGGAGCAAACAGGAUUAGAUACCCCCGUAGUCCCUGUCUCUUAUAC